rnacentral:rRNA from 1 species
UUAACACAUGCAAGUCGAACGGAAAGGCCCUGCUUUUGUGGGGUGCUCGAGUGGCGAACGGGUGAGUAACACGUGAGUAACUUGCCCUUGACUUUGGGAUAACUUCAGGAAACUGGGGCUAAUACCGGAUAGGAGCUCCUGCUGCAUGGUGGGGGUUGGAAAGUUUCGGCGGUUGGGGAUGGACUCGCGGCUUAUCAGCUUGUUGGUGGGGUAGUGGCUUACCAAGGCUUUGACGGGUAGCCGGCCUGAGAGGGUGACCGGCCACAUUGGGACUGAGAUACGGCCCAGACUCCUACGGGAGGCAGCAGUGGGGAAUAUUGCACAAUGGGCGGAAGCCUGAUGCAGCAACGCCGCGUGCGGGAUGACGGCCUUCGGGUUGUAAACCGCUUUCGCCUGUGACGAAGCGUGAGUGACGGUAAUGGGUAAAGAAGCACCGGCUAACUACGUGCCAGCAGCCGCGGUGAUACGUAGGGUGCGAGCGUUGUCCGGAUUUAUUGAGCGUAAAGGGCUCGUAGGUGGUUGAUCGCGUCGGAAGUGUAAUCUUGGGGCUUAACCCUGAGCGUGCUUUCGAUACGGGUUGACUUGAGGAAGGUAGGGGAGAAUGGAAUUCCUGGUGGAGCGGUGGAAUGCGCAGAUAUCAGGAGGAACACCAGUGGCGAAGGCGGUUCUCUGGGCCUUUCCUGACGCUGAGGAGCGAAAGCGUGGGGAGCGAACAGGCUUAGAUACCCUGGUAGUCCACGCUGUAAACGGUGGGUACUAGGUGUGGGGUCCAUUCCACGGGUUCCGUGCCGUAGCUAACGCUUUAAGUACCCCGCCUGGGGAGUACGGCCGCAAGGCUAAAACUCAGAGGAAUUGACGGGGCCCCGCACAAGCGGCGGAGCAUGCGGAUUAAUUCGAUGCAACGCGUAGAACCUUACCUGGGUUUGACAUGGAUCGGGAGUGCUCAGAGAUGGGUGUGCCUCUUUUGGGGUCGGUUCACAGGUGGUGCAUGCCUGUCGUCAGCUCGUGUCGUGAGAUGUUGGGUUAAGUCCCGCAACGAGCGCAACCCUUGUUCACUGUUGCCAGCACGUUAUGGUGGGGACUCAGUGGAGACCGCCGGGGUCAACUCGGAGGAAGGUGGGGAUGACGUCAAGUCCUCAUGCCCCUUAUGUCCAGGGCUUCACGCAUGCUACAAUGGCUGGUACAGAGAGUGGCGAGCCUGUGAGGGUGAGCGAAUCUCGGAAAGCCGGUCUCAGUUCGGAUUGGGGUCUGCAACUCGACCUCAUGAAGUCGGAGUCGCUAGUAAUCGCAGAUCAGCAACGCUGCGGUGAAUACGUUCCCGGGGCUUGUACACACCGCCCGUCAAGUCAUGAAAGUUGGUAACACCCGAAGCCGGUGGCCUAACCGUUGUGGGGGAGCCGUCGAAGGUGGGACUGGUGAUUAGGACUAAAUC